CUUCCAGUAGCACCUUAGAGACCAACUAAGUUUGUUAUUGGUAUGAGCCUUCGUGUGAAGAAGUGUGCAUGCACACAAAAGCUCAUACCAAUAACAAACUUAGCUGGUCUCUAAGGUGCUACUGGAAG
rnacentral:miRNA from 1 species